GAUGAACGCUGGCGGCGUGCCUAAUACAUGCAAGUCGAGCGAACGGACGAGAAGCUUGCUUCUCUGAUGUUAGCGGCGGACGGGUGAGUAACACGUGGAUAACCUACCUAUAAGACUGGGAUAACUUCGGGAAACCGUAGCUAAUACCGGAUAAUAUUUUGAACCGCAUGGUUCAAAAGUGAAAGACGGUCUUGCUGUCACUUAUAGAUGGAUCCGCGCUGCAUUAGCUAGUUGGUAAGGUAACGGCUUACCAAGGCAACGAUGCAUAGCCGACCUGAGAGGGUGAUCGGCCACACUGGAACUGAGACACGGUCCAGACUCCUACGGGAGGCAGCAGUAGGGAAUCUUCCGCAAUGGGCGAAAGCCUGACGGAGCAACGCCGCGUGAGUGAUGAAGGUCUUUGGAUCGUAAAACUCUGUUAUUAGGGAAGAACAUAUGUGUAAGUAACUGUGCACAUCUUGACGGUACCUAAUCAGAAAGCCACGGCUAACUACGUG
rnacentral:rRNA from 1 species